rnacentral:tRNA from 1 species
CCCGACACGGUACGUCGGAGACGCGGGUUCGAACCCCGCUGGAGCGGUCAAUUUUUGAUAUGAUAUUCAAAAAUGUUUAGAAUUCCUAAUGUGGGUAACACAAAAAUAAAAAUCUUAGAUAUUAAAAAUAGCACGGUGUCGUCUCCUGUCAAAGAUUUUCAUUGUAAUAUGAAACUUUGAAUAGUUACGGGUUUCUGUAAAGAGCUCACUAUAGACGGCGCCACGGUUCGCUUAAACCGUAAUUUAAAAUUAUCAUAUCGAAAAUUUCGCUCGAGCGGGUGUAUCGUUCCAUAGCUUAAUUGGCUAGAGCGCCGACACGGUACGUCGGAGACGCGGGUUCGAACCCCGCUGGAGCGGUCAAUUUUUGAUAUGAUAUUCAAAAAAAAUGUUUAGAAUUCCUAAUGUGGGUAACACAAAAAUAAAAAUCUUAGAUAUUAAAAAUAGCACGCACGGUGUCGUCUCCUGUCAAAGAUUUUCAUUGUAAUAUGAAACUUUGAAUAGUUACGGGUUUCUGUAAAGAGCUCACUAUAGACGGCGCCACGGUUCGCUUAAACCGUAAUUUAAAAUUAUCAUAUCGAAAAUUUCGCUCGAGCGGGUGUAUCGUUCCAUAGCUUAAUUGGCUAGAGCGCCGACACGGUACGUCGGAGACGCGGGUUCGAACCCCGCUGGAGCGGUCAAUUUUUGAUAUGAUAUUCAAAAAUGUUUAGAAUUCCUAAUGUGGGUAACACAAAAAUAAAAAUCUUAGAUAUUAAU